rnacentral:pre_miRNA from 1 species
ACCCUCAAAACCGUCGCUCCGGCGCAGGCCGGGGCCGCUGUGUAUGGGGCACCCGGUUCGUUCAGUAACGCAGCGGCCCCGGCCUGCGCCGGGGAGACGGUUUCGA